CGUCUUCGCUGUGCUCACAUCAUUGAAUAGAAACAGAAAUGGUGUGAAGAAUGUAAAGAAUGAAAAGAAGACAAGGAGUAGAGAAGAAGUAGAAGAGGAAGAAGAAAGGUGCUUGUCAACAAUAAACCCAAAGAGAGUUUAAUUUGUCUUCUGCAACUUCUUCAUCUUUUUCAAGCACAUGAUCUUCUACUUCAGG